rnacentral:rRNA from 1 species
CGAUGCAGACUCGGUGAUGAGUUGGCUAUAUGAUAUCUGCCGCAGGGAAGCCGUUAAGUUUGCCGCCUGGGGAGAGGUCGCAAGACUGAAACUUAAAGGAAUUGGCGGGGGAGCACCACAAGGGGUGAAGCCUGCGGUUCAAGAACGCCGGAAAUCUUACCGGGGGCGACAGCAGUAUGAAGGUCAAGCUGAAGACUUUACCAGACAAGCUGAGAGGAGGUGCAUGGCCGUCGCCAGCUCGUGCCGUGAGGUGUCCUGUUAAGUCAGGUAACGAGCGAGACCCCUGCCUCUAGUUGCUACCAUUAUUCUCAGGAGUAAUGGAGCUAAUUAGAGGGACUGCCGUCGCUGAACGGAGAGAGGGGCUACGGCAGGUCAGUAUGCCCCGAAACCCUCGGGCCACGCGGGCUGCAGGAAGAAUGA